CCACGCCCACGCUGUGGUUCGAACUAGAGCACGGGACAGACAGUGCUCGUCCUGAGGAGAGAUCAGCAGACUCACAACAUGUCCUAACCAGACGCGAAACACACGAUAAAAGCUUGGAGACUGAAGAUGUUGUUUUGUGGAGACGCAUUUAUAGAAGAACAGGAAGAUGAAGGAAGGGUUAUGGGUCAUGUGCUGAUCAGAUUUUCACACUUCUGGUGAGUAUUGAGCAAGAAGAAGAACAGGUGAUUGUGAUCUCUUGAUUGGCUGGAACUAUAAUGAUAUUCAUAGAUGUUUUUGUCUUGACUAGACAGAAGUAAACUGACAUUAAUUAAAUGAUUUUAUGAUGAUGAAUAAAGUUUCCAUGGUUCACAGUAAAUCUCACCAUUCUUAACAGGAUUGAGCUCCACAUUUUUGGUAUGUAAUGGAACCAGCACACCCUCCGACUGAGAGAGAGAAAGAGAGAGAGAGUAAGUUAACUAACUGUAAUGCUCUAGUUUCAAAAUAUGACAAUCACCUAUUGAUUAUUAUUUGUAAAAAAUGACCAAAUGAAAUGAAACAGAAUUCCCAUCAGACGUACCACCACCUUCAGGCUCUUUCUCACUCCAUCAGUGUGAACAGAAUCAAAUGCUGCAGCUUUCACCUCAAUCAUGUGAUUUCCCAGUGUCAUGGGAAUAAUCACAUAUGAAACUGCUAUGCUGGAGCCUUUGUCAACGUUUACUGUUGUUCUGUAUUUGCCUUUCUUACUGGCAAAGCUGCAAACAUCUGGUGCCUCCAUAAACUCCACUCGCACCUGGAGAAAACAGAAGACCGAGACACUAAUCACUUCAAUAUCUAGAGGAAACUUCCUCCAAAGUAAAUCAAAUAUGAAAAGUGUAAUGAAGGACAUUUCUGUUUUAGCAAUGAUUAGUAUCCUACACUUUUGUCGGUCACAAGCAGCUUAAAAAAAUGAAAUGACUCUCAGAACCCAUGUAUGCUGUCAUUAGUAAAUUAUGUGAACUCAAGCCGAAAUGGUUAUUAUGAUGCACAAUGUUUUAAUAUAUACCAUAAAUCUUACUAUAUUUUAAAUAUUAAAUUAGAUCUACCUUCUG